GUGAGGAAUAUUGGUCAAUGGGCGCAAGCCUGAACCAGCCAUGCCGCGUGCAGGAAGACGGUCCUAUGGAUUGUAAACUGCUUUUAUUUGGGAAUAAACCUCCUUACGUGUAGGGAGCUGAAGGUACCAAAUGAAUAAGCACCGGCUAACUCCGUGCCAGCAGCCGCGGUAAUACGGAGGGUGCAAGCGUUAUCCGGAAUCAUUGGGUUUAAAGGGUCCGCAGGCGGUCAUAUAAGUCAGUGGUGAAAGCCUACAGCUCAACUGUAGAACUGCCAUUGAUACUGUAGGACUUGAAUUCGAUCGAAGUGGGCGGAAUGUGACAUGUAGCGGUGAAAUGCUUAGAUAUGUCACAGAACACCGAUAGCGAAGGCAGCUCACUAGGUCUGGAUUGACGCUCAGGGACGAAAGCGUGGGGAGCAAACAGGAUUAGAAACCCCAGUAGUCC
rnacentral:rRNA from 1 species